rnacentral:tRNA from 1 species
GGCGCCAUGGCCAAGUGGUAAGGCAGAGGAUUGCAAAUCCUUUAUCCCCGGUUCGAGUCCGGGUGGCGCCUCCA